CUAUUCCCUGGGCCCACCACCAAAUAGAUGUUUUACACCCCUAUUCCUUUCCGUGUCUGCUACUGAUAUUGGAUGUAAUAGCUUUGAAGUGGCGAUUAGGGAUUCCCCACCAAUUCCCAAUUUUAUUUUCUGUUUUCUGCCCUCAUCCUCUCGCGACGUUUCCCAAUUUUUUCCCUUCCAGAUUUCUACUUCUUCUUCUGGUACGAUAUUUGCAGAUAUUUUUCACUUUGGGCAGUUAGUGAUAAAAAAUAUGGAGGAUUAAGCUUUUCAUCCUAAGAUGUUGGUGAAGUUCUUGCUUUCUCUGGAUUUGGUCUUUUACUGUUUCAACUGCUGUUGUAUCCACCAGUUGAGAGACGCCUUGGGCCUCUCAUGGUUACACGCCUUUCAGCUGUAAUAUCAAUUCCAUUGUUGUCAUGUUUCCCCAUAUAGCAAUGCUUUCAGGGGUAGUCCUGCAUUUGGUGAUAAAUUGUGCAGCCAUAUUAAGAAACAUUCUAUCUGUUUCACUUGUUACUGGAUUAUUCAUAUUGCUGAACAAUGCAGUGCCUAAGUCAGAGAGGGGCCGCUAAUGCCAUUUCAAUAACUGCAAUGUCUGUUUUCAAAGCAUUUGGUCCAGCAGGAGGAGGAGCGCUGUAGAUUUUCUUGGGCACAAGAGCGACAAGUUGCCUCUUUUCUUCUAGGUGAUCAAAUGGUUUUCUUUGCGCCAAUCAUGGUUCAAUUUAUUGGGUUGCUAUUGACUUUCAAGCCCUUUCUUGCUGAACCGUACCAGAGAGAAUAGCAUCAACAAUUAUUUUUUUAGUUCACUUCAUCAGUGUUCUCAUCAUAUGAAUCAUUGUUGAUUAGUGAAUUGACCCGAAUAAAGUUUAUAAUAAUUGGAAUGGUAUGUCAUUACAAUGUUCUAAUUUUUUGAUGUUGAAAAAUUGUAUAACAUAUGGAUUAUGACAUAGAAUUUCAUGAAUUUCAUGUAACCUUUUGUUAAUAUAUGAAUAUUAUGUUUAUGCAAAAUAUAAUUCUCAAGUUA